UAGUGUUUCGGGUUGAUUAUUCAUGAACUUCCUAUGCAGGGCAAUGCACGUAUUGCAUCCUAUCGAUUUCAUCCCAUGUUGCUGCAUCAGAGGUUAAUCUCAUCUGUCUACAGCAAACAGUUCACCAUAAAUCUAUUCACUAACCCACAAUAGAUGGGUAAAUAUCUUGAUCCCUUUCCACACUGAGGCCAUCAUUACAGCUCUACGGAGGAUUUAAGAACCUGUUUCCAAGCCAAGUCAAACACUCACCCUGCGUCUUCCUGCUUAUACGAAAAAGCUUCGAGUUAUUCUACGUGCCACACCCAGACUGAGCCCGAAUCUGUUCUGCGCCAAUGCCAGUCGUUUCGGCAAUUACUUACUGAAGGGUGUGGAGCGGCACAUAGCUAAAAGCUGAGAAAAAGAUCGAUGAAAUAAGAACAAGAAGAAAAGAACAAAUGACUAAGUUCCAAUGAUGCAAGUGUAACAUUUACUCUGUCUACACCAUAAAACAGCCUCCGCGUGGCAAAAGUACAAUGUUUGUGCUGUACCAAGUAUCAAGGCAAAAUAUAAAUCUGGAAUAUGUGCAAUAACUUCAAGCUUGUCAGAGGGCAUUGAAAGACGACAAUCUGUUCUAAAAUAAAUGGAGGAUAUUAAACAUCUGGAAAAUUCUCUCUGUAACCAGUAAGAUAGCACACAGCAGAGAACGAUAUUUCAGAUUGGCA